UAGGGAAUCUUCGGCAAUGGACGGAAGUCUGACCGAGCAACGCCGCGUGAGUGAAGAAGGUUUUCGGAUCGUAAAGCUCUGUUGUAAGAGAAGAACGAGUGUGAGAGUGGAAAGUUCACACUGUGACGGUAUCUUGCCAGAAAGGGACGGCUAACUACGUGCCAGCAGCCGCGGUAAUACGUAGGUCCCGAGCGUUGUCCGGAUUUAUUGGGCGUAAAGCGAGCGCAGGCGGUUAGAUAAGUCUGAAGUUAAAGGCUGUGGCUUAACCAUAGUAGGCUUUGGAAACUGUUUAACUUGAGUGCAAGAGGGGAGAGUGGAAUUCCAUGUGUAGCGGUGAAAUGCGUAGAUAUAUGGAGGAACACCGGUGGCGAAAGCGGCUCUCUGGCUUGUAACUGACGCUGAGGCUCGAAAGCGUGGGGAGCAAACAGGAUUAGAUACCCUGGUAGUCCACGCCGUAAACGAUGAGUGCUAGGUGUUAGACCCUUUCCGGGGUUUAGUGCCGUAGCUAACGCAUUAAGCACUCCGCCUGGGGAGUACGACCGCAAGGUUG
rnacentral:rRNA from 1 species